rnacentral:rRNA from 1 species
UACGAAGGGGGCUAGCGUUGCUCGGAAUCACUGGGCGUAAAGCGCACGUAGGCGGACUCUUAAGUCGGUGGUGAAAUCCUGGAGCUCAACUCCAGAACUGCCUUCGGUACUGAGAGUCUCGAGUCCGAGAGAGGUGAGUGGAACCGCGAGUGUAGAGGUGAAAUUCGUAGAUAUUCGCAAGAACACCAGUGGCGAAGGCGGCUCACUGGCUCGGUACUGACGCUGAGGUGCGAAAGCGUGGGGAGCAAACAGG